rnacentral:rRNA from 1 species
CGUAGGGUGCGAGCGUUGCCCGGAUUUAUUGGGCGUAAAGGGCGCGUAGGCGGCUCGGCACGUCCGUUGUGAAAUCGCCCGGCUCAACUGGGCGGGGUCAGCGGAUACGGUCGAGCUUGAGCAAGCUAGGGGGUAAUGGGAUUCCCGGUGUAGUGGUGGAAUGCGUAGAUAUCGGGAGGAACACCAGUGGCGAAGGCGGUUACCUGGGGCUUUGCUGACGCUGAUGCGCGAAAGCGUGGGGAGCGAUCCGGAUUAGAUACCCGGGUAGUCCACGCCGUAAACGAUGCGGACUAGGUGUCGGGGGUAUCGACCCCCUCGGCGCCGCAGCUAACGCAUUAAGUCCGCCGCCUGGGGACUACGGCCGCAAGGCUA